UUUCAUUCUUGGGCUGAUGUUUCGGAGUUGCAGUGAUUCCGAAAUGGACUUCAUAUUCAAGAACAUUAAAUAAGUUCAACCUUAAGCAACUAUUGAAGAAAUGGAUACAAUGGAAUGGAGGACAACAAUCGAGUACUGUCCAGGGAGUAGACAGCACACAGAGCAGUGAAGGGAUGUACGUGGACUAACAUCAACAGGAUUGUGGCUGAAAAUUGCUACUUUGGCAGUCCUAGGAUGCACAGCAUUUAGGUUUUAAAUGUGGUUUUUUGAUGUGGAAAAUGCUUAGAAAGUUCAUUUUAAAAAAAGGGAUAGGACAAAAAGUCCAUGUCUGCAUGGGUUUCGCCAAUUAUGGAGCAAUGUGGGUUGGGUAAAGUUAAGAAUGAGAAGUUUAGUCAUCCAUGUGGGUGUGCCUUGGCGGGGAUUCCUCAGGGUCCUGAGUUGAAACAAACGAUGUAAAUGGAUGUUCUCUCCCGCCAUUUUGGAAGGUUUUGACCAACAUCUCUAAUAAAAACCUGCUAACUUCUAAGAA